CUGGAAGGGACGUGAGUCACCUGAGGGUGAGGAUUGUCUGUAAGAUGCAUCUUGGUAAGAUCAGCUGGAAGCGACAGGUAGCUGCUGGCAUCCACGUUGUCGGUGAUGGUCUGGCGCUCGCCCCGCUGGUUGAUCUUCCUAAACCUGCGCCGGGACUGCCGGAGUGGGACUUCUCUUUGCAGGAUGCUUUCCUCAUUGUCCUUGGAGUUCUCCACCACAAUCAUUUCUGAAGGCUCCAGUAUGAUACAUUCGCAUCCUCGUUUUCCUCCAGACUGC
rnacentral:lncRNA from 1 species